rnacentral:tRNA from 1 species
GCCGAAGUGGCGGAAUUGGCAGACGCGCUGCGUUCAGGGCGCAGUGAGGUUUACCCUCAUGUGGGUUCGACUCCCACCUUCGGCACCA